CAGAUGCACUCUCAUUUCACUUAACACAGAAACUCACACAUUCAUAUGGAGCUUUCAUUUCCAGAUCUCUUGCACAAAUCCAACCCAGGUUAGCUGUGCUGAAAUCUUCUCUCGAGCCUCCUUUGCACAUGGAGUCCUAUGCAACUGAUCGAUAUUCCUUCCUAGAGAAGACUUCCAGAAAUGAGCUGGAAUUCUUUAUUAGUGCAUCCUUGUGAAGGUAAGGACAAAGUGAAGAAAAGCCCCCCACUCCCAGAUGGAUGUUUGUAAUCUCCAAAGACAGCAUACUCGGAUUUUAUAGUUUGAAUUUAGACGUCAUCUUCCUUAGCAGCUAAGGAGAUGUGCGAAGUGCUGGAUGCAUCCUCUAGAAGAGGACUAAGAAAACAUACAUUUUUCAUUUUGAACAUCAACAUUUUAAUAACUACUAAACUAGUAUGAUUGUUGUAUUUCCAGUUGCUUGAGUGGGGCAUGUUAUUUUUCUCUUUUAGGUGACCUGCUUCAUCUUUGAUCCUACAAUCCCGACAAGAGUCAGCAUAUCUAUUCAGUAAAAUGUCUGACAUGCCUGGCCAUAGUCUGAUCUUGACAUCUUCCAUUCUAGGAUGAUCAUUAAUAUAAUAGCAGUCUAGGGAAUCGUAUGGCAUAGUGAAUUAGUAAUGGGCUGUAGUCCUCUUCACCGGGCCUUGGUUGCCAAUUUGACUCCAGGUUGAUAGUGAUUUACAGUUGCCAUCUGAUGGUUGUUCAUGAAAUGAAUUGGUGAUUCUCAGGCCAGUUCCUAAUGGAAUUGUGUCCACAUCAUAAAAAUCAUCACCACACCAAUUUCUUUCAGUCAAACAGUGAAUGGGCCAUGCAGACCAAACCUCUCUCUCCAUUAGAGGCCAUCCCACCCACUCCUGGGGGAGGGGG